AGCGGCUGACGGGUGUGCACCGCUUUGAGCUACCUUCUUAGGGUGAAUAGCCCUGGAAACUUGGGUUAAUGCCCCGCGGCUUGUUGGCAGGUGUUUAGUUGUGCCUUCGGGCGGUAUAAGCGGUGCGGCGUGUGCGCCUGAUGGUAAGGUAACGGCUUACCAUGGCUACGAUGGGUAGGGGUCCUGAGAGGGGGAUCCCCCACACUGGUACUGAGACACGGACCACACUACUACGGGAGGCAGCAGUGAGGAAUAUUGGACAAUGGAGGAGACUCUGAUCCAGCCAUGCCGCGUGCAGGAAGAAUGCCUAUGGGUAGUAAACUGCUUUUAUACGGGAAGAAAAAGGGCUACGUGUAGCCUACUGACGGUACCGUAAGAAUAAGGACCGGCUAACUCCGUGCCAGCAGCCGCGGUAAUACGGAGGGUCCGAGCGUUAUCCGGAAUUAUUGGGUUUAAAGGGUCCGUAGGCGGGCCGAUAAGUCAGGGGUGAAAGUCUGCCGCUCAACGGUAGAACUGCCUUUGAUACUGUCGGUCUUGAGUUAUAGUGAAGUUGCCGGAAUAUGUAGUGUAGCGGUGAAAUGCAUAGAUAUUACAUAGAACACCGAUUGCGAAGGCAGGUGACUACCUAUAUACUGACGCUGAUGAACGAAAGCGUGGGGAGCGAACAGGAUUAGAAACCUUGGUA
rnacentral:rRNA from 1 species